rnacentral:rRNA from 1 species
UACGAAGGGGGCUAGCGUUGCUCGGAAUCACUGGGCGUAAAGGGUGCGUAGGCGGGUCUUUAAGUCAGGGGUGAAAUCCUGGAGCUCAACUCCAGAACUGCCUUUGAUACUGAAGAUCUUGAGUUCGGGAGAGGUGAGUGGAACUGCGAGUGUAGAGGUGAAAUUCGUAGAUAUUCGCAGGAACACCAGUGGCGAAGGCGGCUCACUGGUCCGAUACUGACGCUGAGGUGCGAAAGCGUGGGGAGCAAACAGG